AGGGGUAUGGUGUAGUGGUAACACAACGCUCUCCAAAAGCGUUUUCGGGGGUUCGAGUCCCUCUACCCCUG
rnacentral:tRNA from 1 species